rnacentral:rRNA from 1 species
GAGGUUGUAGCUGGUCCCCUCGGGGGCAACGUGCACGCCUCGUCCAUGUCUCUCUCACACCCCUGUGCACCUCUGCGUUGGGGCCCGUCGGUUCGGGGCUCACGUCUUUUUCAUAAAACACACAUGUACUAGAACGUUGCACCUUUUUUGUUAUUAUAUACAACUUUCAACAACGGAUCUCUUGGCUCUCGCAUCGAUGAAGAACGCAGCGAAAUGCGAUAAGUAAUGUGAAUUGCAGAAUUCAGUGAAUCAUCGAAUCUUUGAACGCACCUUGCGCCCCUUGGUAUUCCGAAGGGCACACCUGUUUGAGUAUCGUGAAAUCAUCAACCCUUUCACGUCGUGUGAAGGGCUUGGACUUUGGAGGUCUUUGCUGGUCCCCCCCGGGAUCGGCUCCUCUUGAAUGCAUUUAGUGGAGCGUCGUAGCCUGCCCUUCGGUGUGAUAAUUCAUCUGCAUCGAUCGAGCACGUUAAACGUCGGAACCUUUUGAUCUCAAAUCAGGUG